rnacentral:rRNA from 1 species
AAACUUGAGAGUUUGAUCAUGGCUCAGAAUGAACGCUGGCGGCAUGCCUAACACAUGCAAGUCG